rnacentral:sRNA from 1 species
UCCCAUGGCACCAUGCCUUUGCGCAACAUCUUCAAGAACUGCACCUACUACUGGGGCUUCGCCGCGUGGAUGGCCUAUUACAUCAAUCACCCUCUCUACACGCCCCCUAGUAAGUGGCCUCAGACCGUCCUUCCUUCCCCCACGGUCCCCACCCAGCGGGUACUCCCCUCAUGGGCCUCCCCUCCCUGCUUCCUCUUCAGCCUACGGAGCUCAGCAGGUGAAACUGGCGCUCGCCAUCUUUGUGGUAAGGAGGCUGGGUGUGGGGACGGGGUCGGGGGAGUCUGGGCGGCCCUAGGCUGAUCCUGCUUCUCUGACAGAUCUGCCAGCUCGGCAACUUCUCCAUCCACAUGGCCCUGCGGGACCUGCGGCCCGCUGGUGAGUGCCUGCUGGGGGCAGGGGGACAGCUGGGCUGGGUGAGGGGGUCUGACUUUCUCCUUCUGUCCUGCCUGCCAGGGUCCAAGACCCGGAAGAUCCCAUACCCCACCAAGAACCCCUUCACGUGGCUCUUCCUGCUGGUGUCCUGCCCCAACUAUACCUACGAGGUGGGGUCCUGGAUCGGUUUCGCCAUCAUGACGCAGUGUCUCCCAGGUGAGCCUGCCGCCCUCCCUUGGCAGGGCCCUGCCCCUCCGGGCCGGCAGCCCCUUCCUGACGCCCGUUCUUUCCUGCAGUGGCCCUGUUCUCCCUGGUGGGCUUCACCCAGAUGACCAUCUGGGCCAAGGGCAAGCACCGCAGCUACCUGAAGGAGUUCCGGGACUACCCGCCCCUGCGCAUGCCCAUCAUCCCCUUCCUGCUCUGAGCGCUCACCCCUGCUGGGGCUCAGCCCCUCACCCCGGUGGUAUUCUGGGG